rnacentral:rRNA from 1 species
CCUACGGGGGGGGSUGCAGUAGGGAAUCUUCCGCAAUGGGCGAAAGCCUGACGGAGCAAUGCCGCGUGAGUGAUGAAGGUUUUCGGAUCGUAAAGCUCUGUUGCCAGGGAAGAACGCUUGGGAGAGUAACUGCUCUCAAGGUGACGGUACCUGAGAAGAAAGCCCCGGCUAACUACGUGCCAGCAGCCGCGGUAAUACGUAGGGGGCAAGCGUUGUCCGGAAUUAUUGGGCGUAAAGCGCGCGCAGGCGGUCAUUUAAGUCUGGUGUUUAAUCCCGGGGCUCAACCCCGGAUCGCACUGGAAACUGGGUGACUUGAGUGCAGAAGAGGAGAGUGGAAUUCCACGUGUAGCGGUGAAAUGCGUAGAUAUGUGGAGGAACACCAGUGGCGAAGGCGACUCUCUGGGCUGUAACUGACGCUGAGGCGCGAAAGCGUGGGGAGCAAACAGGAUUAGAUACCCCC